CAAGUAACAACCCUGCUUACAACCACCUCAACUGAUGCAACAACAACUGAAGUCAUCACAAGCCCUGAACCAACAACUACAACUGAAUCAUUGACAUCAACAGCUCAACUUGAGACUACAGUGCUAGAAACAACCACAGUACAAACCAGUACAACCACUGAACCUCCAACAUCAACUACAGAACAAGUAACAACCCUGCUUACAACCACCUCAACUGAUGCAACUACAACUGAAGUCAUUACAAGUCCUGAACCAACAACUACAACUGAAUCACCAACAACUCCAUUUCCAACUACAGCGCAGGAAACAACAACUGUAGAAUCUGCAUCGACCUCCACAGAAUUAACAAGUCAUGUAACGACUACAACAACAACAGUUACACCACAAACAGAGAUGGAAGGAUACCUUUAUCUCCGCUUCAGACUGGUUCGGAAUUACAUUGCCACAUAUAAUGAUCCAAACUCAGCCGAUUAUCAGAAUUUGGCCAAAGAAGUAAUAAAUGAGGUCAGUACAAUAUUCGCACAGAAAUACCCAGUAAUUUUCAGAAGAUGUGAGAUCCUCAAAUUUUGGCCUGGCUCUACUGGAACAGAUUCUCAGUUGGUUUUCCAAAAUCAGAGUGUAGUACCAACACUAUCAAAUGCAACAGAGACACUACAGCAAGCUGUGAAUGCAUCCAACCCUUUACAAAUUAUUGUUCAAACUAUUGAAACUGCAUUAAAUUCAAGUGACUUUGCCACAUACACAACACAACCAACAACAUAUGGGACAACACUGGAAGACACAACAACCACACAAGCAUCAACAACCUCUGUUCAGGUCACAACAACAAAUGACCAGGAAACAACAUCUGUUCCAACAACAACCGCAACUGAUGUCCUAACUGCAUCGGAGACACCAACGACAUUACCUGAGACAACUAUUGUGGUCCUCACAAGUUCUGUAGUAACAACUCAGGAAACAACAUUGUCUGAGACAACAACUGAAAUGGUCACAACUUCUGAACUCCUGACAAGUUCUUUACCAACUACCAGUCAGGCACCAACAUUACUUGAGACAACUUCUGAGAUUCCCACAAGUUCUGUACCAACUACAACUCAGCUAUCAACAACAUUACCUGAGACAACUUCUGAGAUCCCCACAAGUUCUGUACCAACUACAACUCCGCUAUCAACAACAUUACCUGAAACAACUUCUGUGAUUCUCACAAGUUCUGUAGUAACUACAACUCAGGAAACAACAUUGUCUGAGACAACAACUGAAAUGGUCACAACUUCUGAACUCUUGACAAGUUCUGUACCAACUACCACUCAGGCACCAACAACAUUACUUGAUACAACUUCUGAGAUCCCCACAACUACAACUCAGCUAUCAACAACAUUACCUGAGACAACUUCUGUGGUCUUCACAAGUCCUGUAGUAACAACAACUCAGGAAACAACAUUGCCUGAGACAACAACUGAAAUGGUCACAACUUCUGUACCAUCUACAACUCAGGCAACAUCUUUACCCGAGACAACAACUGAACUCCUGACAAGUUCUGUACCAACUACCACUCAGGCACCAACAACAUUACUUGAGACAACUUCUGAGAUGCCCACAAGUUCUGUACCAACUACAACUGAGCUAUCUACAACAUUAUCUGAGACAACUUCUGUGAUUCUCACAAGUUCUGUACCAACUACCACUCAGGUACCAACUACAACUCUACUAUCAACAACAUUACCUGAAACAACUUCUGUGGUCCUCACAAGUUCUGUACCUACUACAACUCAGGAAACAACAUUACCUGAGACAACUUCUGUAGUCCACACAAGUCCUUUACCAACAUCAUCUCAGUCACCAUCACCUAUGACAACUACAGUGCCUGAAACAACAACAGUAUUCUCCAGAACAACAACUGUAGCUGAAUCAUCUACACCUCCAACAGUUUCUACCAGUGCCUCAACAACAUCACCAUUACCUGCUUCCACCACUACAAGAACUACAACUACAUUCCCAACAUAUACAGGGUCUUCACCUACAACCACAGUAUUUCGCACUUUGUUUCCGUCAUUAAGUACACAACAGUCACUGACAAGUACAACCCAGACAUCUACAGAGCUAGCAACUACAACAACCACCACAAGUCAAGUUUCAUCUACAACACUGAAGCAACUGAUCACUACUGCAAACUUGGGAACUACUAUACAAGCUUCAACAACUACCACUUUAACUUCCACUACUACAACUGUCUCAACUACAACAGCAUCUAACUAUCCACCAUUGCCAAAUGAAGGAUACCUUUAUCUACAGUUCAGGAUGAUCAGAAUCUUCAUCCCAGCAUAUAAUGAUCCAACUACCAAUGAAUAUAAGUCACUGGAAUCAAAUGUAACGACUGAGUUAAAUAGAGGAUACAAAAUAAUGUACCCUCGCACAUUCCGAAGAUGCAUAGUCAUUGGCUUUUGGUCGGGCUCUGUUGGUGUGACUACUCAAUUGAUCUUUGACAACCAGACAGUGGUGCCCAAUAUAACGGACACAGAAAAAUCUCUGCAAACAGCAAUUAACUCCUCCAAUGUCUUCUUAAAUAUCAUUGAAACCAGUAUUCAAGCUGGUGAGUUUUAACUUCAUAUUUACACUGAUAUCUGUGUGCAUGUCAGUAAUGCAACAGCUAUUUUCAGGAAAAUAGCUGAUACAAAUCCAUCAUAUGUUAAAGCAUUACAAAUUCUCAAAUCUAACAUUCAUUCACAAUGCAUUUCAAACACAUCACAUUCUAUUGCAUUUGCAUUUCAGAUGUAAAACUAGACACGUCAACAACCGCCAACGCUGGAACUACAACCAUGACCACAAUCACCACAACACAAACAACUACAAGAGCACCGACUAGUCAAACUGCUGCCCAGACUACGUCCAACAGUGCAACGGCAAGAAACCGACCCAAAGACGUGGUCACCUUACUUCUCCCUCUCAUCCUCAUUUACUUCCUUCUAACAGAGCUAAGAGUAUAACACAAAUAAAUGCAUCUCUAAAUAGAACGCCA
ensembl:lncRNA